UCUCUCUUCUUCACUUUCGUCGAGAGACAGCCUCAGGAUCUCUCUCUUUCUCGAACUCCAUGAAAGCUCGAGCUCUCUCUCUCGCCGGAGCUCUCUCUCGCCGGAUCUCUCUCUCGUCGGAUCUCUCUUUCUCGCCGGAUCUCUCUCUCUCGCGGGAUCUCUCUCUCUCUCGUCGGAUCUCACUCUCACCGCAUCUCACUCUCUCUCGGGUAUCUCUCGAAGACGGGCUUAUGUCGACUCCAGGUGAUAAGAUUCUCGUUCUUGCAGCAACAAACAGGCCGUUUUAUCUUGAUGAAGCCAUCAUUAGGAGGUUUGAGCGAAGGUAAGUGGACCUUGUAUUACUUGAAAUCCUGAGCUUGAGUUGUACUAACUCCAGCUUUUGUUGUGAGGGAGAAUCAUGGUUGGUCUCCCAUCAGUUGAGAGCAGAGAGAAGAUCUUGAGAACUUUACUGUCAAAAAGAGAAAACAGAGAAUCUUGAUUUCCAUGAGCUAGCACAGAUGACAGAUAGCUAUAUAGUGGAAGUGAUAUCAAGAACUUUUGCACAACAGCUGCAUAUAGACCUGUGAGGGAGCUGAUAAAGCAUGAGUGCUUGAAAGACCAGGAGAGGAAAAAGAGAGAGGAAGCCGAGAAGAGGAAUAUGAAGCAAAAGAAGAAGCAUCUGAGGAGAGAGUGAUAACGCUGAGAGCUUUGAGCAUGGAAGACAUGAGAGUAGCUAAAAACCAGGUUUCUGCUAGUAUUGCAGCAGAAGGAGCAGGAAUGAAUGAACUGAAGCAGUGGAACGAUUUGUAUGGAGAAGGAGGGUCCAGGAAGAAGGAACAGCUCUCUUACUUCCUUUAGUAUCAUUCAGUAAUUGUCUUAAAGCUAUGUUGCGUUUGUGUUGUUGUUGCAGGAAAAGUAACGUUGUAUAAAGCUAUGUUGUGUGGUUUAUGUGUAAUUGUGUUUAUGGCAUUUAAAGAUGAGAUAUAGAGCAAUCAUUGAUGAGA